rfam:Triticum aestivum genome assembly, contig: Triticum_aestivum_CS42_TGACv1_scaffold_471381_6AL
CUAGUACUUCCUCCGUUCGAAAUUACUCGUCCAAGAAAUGAAUGUAUCUAGAUGUAUUUUAGUUAUAGUUACAUCCAUUUUUGUGACAAGUAAUUCCGAACGGAGGGAGUACUCC